rnacentral:rRNA from 1 species
AGAGUUUGAUCCUGGCUCAGAACGAACGCUGGCGGCAUGGAUUAGGCAUGCAAGUCGAACGGUGCAGCAAUGCACAGUGGCGCAAGGGUGAGGAACGCGUGAGUAACCUGCCCUUAAGUUGGGAAUAGCUCCUGGAAACGGGAAUUAAUACCGAAUGUGAUCAUAGAGCUGCAUGGUUUUAUGAUUAAAGGCGAAAGUCGCUUGAGGAGGAGCUCGCGUCCCAUUAGCUAGUUGGUGAGGUAACGGCCCACCAAGGCAAUGAUGGGUAGCUGGUCUGAGAGGACGACCAGCCACACUGGGACUGAGAACUACCCAGACUCCUACGGGAGGCUGCAGUCGAGGAUCAUUUGCAAUGGGCGAAAGCCUGACAAUGCGACGCUGCGUGGAGGAUGAAGGCCUUCGGGUUGUAAACUCCUGUCAUGGGGGAACAGGCGAGGGGACCCAACACGUCCCUUAGUUGAGUGUACCCCAAGAGGAAGCGACGGCUAACUCUGUGCCAGCAGCCGCGGUAAUACAGAGGUCGCGAGCGUUGUUCGGAUUUACUGGGCGUAAAGGGCGCGUAGGCGGCGGAGCGUGUCGGAUGUGAAAUCCCCGGGCCCAACCCGGGAAGUGCGUCCGAAACUGCCCCGCUGGAGGACGGAAGAGGGAAUCGGAAUAUAGGGUGUAGCGGUGAAAUGCGUUGAUAUCCUAUAGAACACCGGAUGCGAAGGCGGAUUCCUGGUACGUAUCUGACGCUGAGGCGCGAAAGUCGGGGGAGCAAACAGGAUUAGAUACCCUGGUAGUCCCGACCUUAAACGGUGCACGCUCGGGGUGGGGGGACUUCAACCCCCCCGUCCCUCAGCCAUUGUAGCA